rnacentral:rRNA from 1 species
AGAGUUGAUCCUGCUCAGAAUCAACGCUGGCGGCGUGCCUCAGACAUGCAAGUCGAACGAGAAAGUUCCCUUUCGGGGGAUGAGUAAAGUGGCGCACGGGUGAGUAACACGUAGGUAAUCUACCUUCGGAUGGGGAAUAACCCAGGGAAACUUGGGCUAACACCGCAUAAUGCAGCGGCACCACAUGGUGACAGUUGUUAAAGCGGGGGAUUUUCGAACCUCGCGUCUGAAGAGGAGCCUGCGGCAGAUUAGCUAGUUGGUAAGGUAACGGCUUACCAAGGCGACGAUCUGUAACCGGCCUGAGAGGGCGGUCGGUCACACUGACACUGACAUACGGGUCAGACUCCUACGGGAGGCAGCAGUCGGGAAUUUUGGGCAAUGGGCGAAAGCCUGACCCAGCAACGCCGCGUGAAGGAUGAAAUCCCUCGGGAUGUAAACUUCGCAAGAUUGGGAAGAAUUAGUAGGGGUUAAUACCCCCUAUGAUGACGGUACCAUUUGUAAGCUCCGGCUAACUCCGUGCCAGCAGCCGCGGUAAUACGGGGGGAGCAAGCGUUGUUCGGAUUUACUGGGCGUAAAGGGCGCGUAGGCGGUCAGCACAAGUCAGUUGUGAAAUCUCCGGGCUUAACUCGGAAAGGUCAACUGAUACUGUGCGACUAGAGUGCAGAAGGGGCAACUGGAAUUCUCGGUGUAGCGGUGAAAUGCGUAGAUAUCGAGAGGAACACCUGCGGCGAAGGCGGGUUGCUGGGCUGACACUGACGCUGAGGCGCGAAAGCCAGGGGAGCGAACGGGAUUAGAUACCCCGGUAGUCCUGGCCUUAAACGAUGGAUGCUUGGUGUCUGGAGUUAUAUAGUCUCCGGGUGCCGCAGCUAACGCGUUAAGCAUCCCGCCUGGGGAGUACGGUCGCAAGACUGAAACUCAAAGGAAUUGACGG